rnacentral:rRNA from 1 species
CGCGGAAGAUGUAACGGGGCUAAACCAUGCACCGAAGCUGCGGCAGCGAACGUAUCACCCAAGACAACUUUACGGAGUUGACGAUUGACGGAGCGAAGCGACGUCAAAGCGUUCAUUAAAGUCGAGUUGGCUUAGGGAUACGUUCGUUGGGUAGGGGAGCGUUCUGUAAGCCUGUGAAGGUGUGUCGUGAGGCAUGCUGGAGGUAUCAGAAGUGCGAAUGCUGACAUAAGUAACGAUAAAGCGGGUGAAAAGCCCGCUCGCCGGAAGACCAAGGGUUCCUGUCCAACGUUAAUCGGGGCAGGGUGAGUCGACCCCUAAGGCGAGGCCGAAAGGCGUAGUCGAUGGGAAACGGGUUAAUAUUCCCGUACUUGGUGUUACUGCGAAGGGGGGACGGAGAAGGCUAUGUUGGCCGGGCGACGGUUGUCCCGGUUUAAGCGUGUAGGUGUGUGUUCCAGGUAAAUCCGGUUCACUUUAACACUGAGGCGUGACGACGAGGCACUACGGUGCUGAAGCAACAAAUGCCCUGCUUCCAGGAAAAGCCUCUAAGCAUCAGGUAACAUCAAAUCGUACCCCAAACCGACACAGGUGGUCAGGUAGAGAAUACCAAGGCGCUUGAGAGAACUCGGGUGAAGGAACUAGGCAAAAUGGUGCCGUAACUUCGGGAGAAGGCACGCUGACACGUAGGUGAAGUGAUUUACUCAUGGAGCUGAAGUCAGUCGAAGAUACCAGCUGGCUGCAACUGUUUAUUAAAAACACAGCACUGUGCAAACACGAAAGUGGACGUAUACGGUGUGACGCCUGCCCGGUGCCGGAAGGUUAAUUGAUGGGGUCAGCGCAAGCGAAGCUCCUGAUCGAAGCCCCGGUAAACGGCGGCCGUAACUAUAACGGUCCUAAGGUAGCGAAAUUCCUUGUCGGGUAAGUUCCGACCUGCACGAAUGGCGUAAUGAUGGCCAGGCUGUCUCCACCCGAGACUCAGUGAAAUUGAACUCGCUGUGAAGAUGCAGUGUACCCGCGGCAAGACGGAAAGACCCCGUGAACCUUUACUAUAGCUUGACACUGAACAUUGAGCCUUGAUGUGUAGGAUAGGUGGGAGGCUUUGAAGUGUGGACGCCAGUCUGCAUGGAGCCGACCUUGAAAUACCACCCUUUAAUGUUUGAUGUUCUAACGUGGACCCGUAAUCCGGGUUGCGGACAGUGUCUGGUGGGUAGUUUGACUGGGGCGGUCUCCUCCUAAAGAGUAACGGAGGAGCACGAAGGUUGGCUAAUCCUGGUCGGACAUCAGGAGGUUAGUGCAAUGGCAUAAGCCAGCUUGACUGCGAGCGUGACGGCGCGAGCAGGUGCGAAAGCAGGUCAUAGUGAUCCGGUGGUUCUGAAUGGAAGGGCCAUCGCUCAACGGAUAAAAGGUACUCCGGGGAUAACAGGCUGAUACCGCCCAAGAGUUCAUAUCGACGGCGGUGUUUGGCACCUCGAUGUCGGCUCAUCACAUCCUGGGGCUGAAGUAGGUCCCAAGGGUAUGGCUGUUCGCCAUUUAAAGUGGUACGCGAGCUGGGUUUAGAACGUCGUGAGACAGUUCGGUCCCUAUCUGCCGUGGGCGCUGGAGAACUGAGGGGGGCUGCUCCUAGUACGAGAGGACCGGAGUGGACGCAUCACUGGUGUUCGGGUUGUCAUGCCAAUGGCACUGCCCGGUAGCUAAAUGCGGAAGAGAUAAGUGCUGAAAGCAUCUAAGCACGAAACUUGCCCCGA